rnacentral:rRNA from 1 species
AGCGGCGUAAGGGGCAGUAAUACCUGGGAAUGUACCCUUUGGUCGGGGAUAGCUGCUGGAAACGGCGAGUAAUACCCGAUGAACUCGAGAGAGCAAAGGCUUGCCGCCGGAGGAGCGGCCCAGGCGAUAUUAGCUAGUUGGUGGGGUAAUGGCCUACCAAGGCUUAGAUGUCUAGCGGGUGUGAGAGCACGACCCGCGCCACUGGCACUGAGACACUGGCCAGACACCUACGGGUGGCUGCAGUCGAGAAUCCUCGGCAAUGAGCGCAAGCUUGACCGAGCGACGCCGCGUGCGGGAUGAAGGCCUUCGGGUUGUAAACCGCUUUGGUCCGAGAGAAAGGGCAACUUGAUCGAUCGGAGAAACAAGGACGGGCUAAGUUCGUGCCAGCAGCCGCGGUAAGACGAACCGUCCAAACGUUAUUCGGAAUCACUGGGCUUAAAGGGCGCGUAGGCGGCCGAGCGGGUCGCGGGUGAAAUCCUCCAGCUUAACUGGAGAACUGCCCUCGAUACCACUGCGGCUCGAGGAAGGAAGGGGUCAUGGGAACUGUCGGUGGAGCGGUGAAAUGCGUUGAUAUCGACAGGAACGCCUGUGGCGAAAGCGCAUGACUGGUCCUUUUCUGACGCUGAGGCGCGAAAGCCAGGGGAGCAAACGGGAUUAGAUGCCCCCGUAGUCCUGGCCUUAAACGAUGAGAACUAGGUAG